CCUACGGGUGGCAGCAGUGGGGAAUAUUGGGCCAUGGGCGCAAGCCUGACCCAGCGACGCCGCGUGAGGGAAGACGGUCUUCGGAUUGUAAACCUCUUUCAGCAGGGAAGACAAAAGGACGGUACCUGCAGAAGAAGCCACGGCUAACUACGUGCCAGCAGCCGCGGUAAUACGUAGGUGGCAAGCGUUAUCCGGAAUUACUGGGUGUAAAGGGUGUGUAGGCGGGUUUGCAAGUCAGAUGUGAAAACUCAGGGCUCAACCCUGAGCCUGCAUUUGAAACUGUGUUUCUUGAGUGCUGGAGAGGCAAUCGGAAUUCCGUGUGUAGCGGUGAAAUGCGUAGAUAGACGGAGGAACACCAGUGGCGAAGGCGGAUUGCUGGACAGUAACUGACGCUGAGGCGCGAAAGCGUGGGGAGCAAACAGGAUUAGAUACCCCGGUAGUC
rnacentral:rRNA from 1 species